rnacentral:rRNA from 1 species
GGUGAACGCUGGCGGCGUGCUUAAGACAUACAAGUCGAACGCAGUCUUCGGACUGAGUGGCGCACGGGUGAGUAACACGUAACUGACCUACCCCCAAGUCGCGGAUAACUGGCCGAAAGGUCAGCUAAUACGUGAUGUGAUGUCCCCUUUCUGGGGGGCCAUUAAAGGUUUACUGCUUGGGGAUAGGGGUUGCGUUCCAUCAGCUAGUUGGCGGGGUAAAGGCCCACCAAGGCAACGACGGAUAGCCGGCCUGAGAGGGUGGCCGGCCACAGGGGCACUGAGACACGGGUCCCACUCCUACGGGAGGCAGCAGUUAGGAAUCUGCCACAAUGGGCGAAAGCCUGAUGGAGCGACGCCGCGUGAGGGAUGAAGGUUCUCGGAUCGUAAACCUCUGAAUCAGGGACGAAAGACGCGUAAGCGGGAUGACGGUACCUGAGUAAUAGCACCGGCUAACUCCGUGCCAGCCGCCGCGGUAA